UUACCUUUUAUGCGUUUACUCAGAACACAGCCCACCUCUCCGUCCUUUUUAGAAAGCUGCGAACGGUUUUGGGACUAACGACGGCGAACGGCGGCGUGGUGCUCAACGUUGCCAGGUUGGCUAGGUCUUGGGCGGCGCCCGUGGUUGGUGAUGGCGGUGCAGGCUUAGCGGCGUGGUACUCGGUGGCAGUUGGUGGCCUCGGCGGUGCGGUGAGCUCUCUGGUUCCUCGGUGACGGGCAACACAGCGGGUUAUAUCGACUGCGACCGCUUCGUGCUCUGCCCCGGCCACGACGGCGCCGCUCCAUCUCGCGAACUAUGACGGCAUCACGGUAAGCUCUCCACACUUUGGUUUUUUGCCCGGAUUUAUGCCCCUGUAUUUUUCCUCCUGUCCUCACCCAAUCCAUUGAGGAACUUAAGCAUAAUCGUGGGCAUGUCUUGCCGGUUGUGGCGGCUGCCAUGGUGCGAGGGUGUGGCCCUUCACAGAUUGAACAAUUGAUGGAUACCUGUGCUAGGUUCCUGAAGUUUUACUGGCUUCAAUUUGGGUGCACAAGUUUUGGUAUGGCCUUUGGCAGAUUUGAUAAUGUGCGCCUUCUUCCUAUAUCAACCAAGAUUGAACAAAAAAUCGCAUGGCCGUGGUGAUCUGGUCCACGAGAUAGAUGACUAGAUGUUGGGGGUAAAUAAAGAAGAGCUUCUCUCCAGAUCUGACCAACGCAGUCCUACUAAUCUCCAAUCUUCCAUAAAUAGAGCUACCAAUGCGUUUGUGUCUAAUGACUCCUCAGGUUCAGUGGCUUUUGUAUAAUUACUCCUCAAUUUAGCAUGCCCAUAUGCUGCAUUUUCUAUCUGCUGUGGUCCAUCAAAUAUUAGUUGUUAGAUUAAGAAAUAAGAGCUACUUAGUGUAAUCAUUAUGGAUCUAUGUAGGUUUGAGGUCUCUGGGUCUUGAAUUAGGCAAUAAAACGUGGGUUGUAAGAUAAUUGGGUUCAUAAAUUGGUCUUCGGAUUUAUAAUUUUGUUUUUUGAAUUGGAACCUCAUGAUUCCAUGACUUAAACUGGCUCAGCAACAUCGCUGGCCAAGAGUACAGAUACAUCGUUCGGCAGGUCGUCCAACUACAGCCGGCGGGGCACCUGACCACCACCACCCAUUGCAGCAAGGGCGUUGGCUACCUUAUUACAAUCACGAGGAGUACAAGAAAACAUCACAUUGGUGAAGUUCAAUCGAAUAAACAUCACAUUGGGAUAUAUAUUAGCUUCAAGAGUAACAGUUGAGCUCAAAGAAGACGAAGCAAACAUUAUAACUAGUACUGAGAUGAGAAGUAUCUCAGGUCUGUAGUUGCAGAAUCAGGAUGGAUAUUAUAAUGGAUUUUCCCAUUUGAAUUGGGUUUCAAAGAUGAGUUGUCGCGAUAUGUAUUUUUUAUCUUCUUUUAUUUCAGUUCAUAAAACAUAUAGGGUAAUUAGUAUUACUUCUAUAUUUCUGUCCACUUAAACUCUUACUGAUUUAUUCCAGUUUCUGUUUUUACAAAUAAUGGUUUAACCAUUGUUGUUUGUGUUUGUGUUGUAGCCUGCUGUGGCUUAAGAUGAGCUCAAGCCUGAAUCCUUUAGUUUAGAUCGUAUUACUUUUCUCAGAUUCCGUGGUCCAGUUUUGGUUUGCGUUGCUCCAAACCUAGCACUUGCAGUUGCUUGUUUCAGAAAUCCAAGUUAUAUGUCAGAUUUCGGCCGUCGAGGCAAUGGUACCCAGGUAGAUGGACUAGCUGCUUGCUCCGUGCCCGUUCUAGUGCACGCUACAUCAUAUAUAGAUGUACAUAGUUCAGGGAAUGAGAAGUCAAUACAUGCAGGACCGAAUCUGGAGGUAGGCACCAAGACCCAAUAAAGAACAACUCCUGAUGGGUUGUAAUCCAUCGCCUCCUCCAGCAACUCCUGCUGAUCAGCAGUAAUGAGCAGCCACGGCGGAGGAAGCCCCAACAAAUGGAAUGGCGCUUCAACCACACUUUGUGACGUGCAAGUGUCAGCCUUCUGCAAAAUGAUGCUCUUGGCACAGAACUGUGAAAAUUAGAGCUUUUGGGGGGUUCCUGGGUUAGUAGUGUUGCGCUUUUGAUCCGUUCCAUCUCUUAGUGUGGUGAAUUUAAUGAUUUUUAGCCAUUAAAAUAUAUCAGAACGAAUUAUGAUGCAUUUGAUCGUGUCAAUUACAUGGGGACUGCAGAGUAGUAUGAGUAUCAUUAGUGUAAUUUGUACAGCAAAAAUAGUUCGUAUCGUCAAGACAAUGUACUUACAUGUUAA